GAUGAACGCUGGCGGCGUGCCUAAUACAUGCAAGUCGAGCGAACAGACGAGGAGCUUGCUCCUCUGACGUUAGCGGCGGACGGGUGAGUAACACGUGGAUAACCUACCUAUAAGACUGGGAUAACUUCGGGAAACCGGAGCUAAUACCGGAUAACAUUUUGAACCGCAUGGUUCAACAGUGAAAGACGGUCUUGCUGUCACUUAUAGAUGGAUCCGCGCCGCAUUAGCUAGUUGGUAAGGUAACGGCUUACCAAGGCAACGAUGCGUAGCCGACCUGAGAGGGUGAUCGGCCACACUGGAACUGAGACACGGUCCAGACUCCUACGGGAGGCAGCAGUAUGGAAUCUUCCGCAAUGGGCGAAAGCCUGACGGAGCAACGCCGCGUGAGUGAAGAAGGUCUUCGGAUCGUAAAACUCUGUUAUUAGGGAAGAACAAAUGUGUAAGUAACUAUGCACGUCUUGACGGUACCUAAUCAGAAAGCCACGGCUAACUACGUG
rnacentral:rRNA from 1 species